rnacentral:tRNA from 1 species
GCGGCCAGCGGCUGGACCGCUAGCGCGCCUGGCUUGUCACUAGAGGGGCGCGGGUUCGAUUCCUGCCGCCGCU